UACGAAGGGGGCUAGCGUUGUUCGGAAUUACUGGGCGUAAAGCGCACGUAGGCGGACUUGUCAGUCAGGGGUGAAAUCCCGAGGCUUAACCUCGGAACUGCCUUUGAUACUGCAAGUCUUGAGGAUGAGAGAGGUAAGUGGAACUGCGAGUGUAGAGGUGAAAUUCGUAGAUAUUCGCAAGAACACCAGUGGCGAAGGCGGCUCACUGGCCCGGUACUGACGCUGAGGUGCGAAAGCGUGGGGAGCAAACAGG
rnacentral:rRNA from 1 species